GAUGAAGAACGUAGCGAAAUGCGAUAAGUAAUGUGAAUUGCAGAAUUCAGUGAAUCAUCGAAUCUCUGAACGCACAUUGCGCCCCCUGGUAUUCCGGGGGGCAUGCCUGUCCGAGCGUCAUUACAACCCUCAAGCUCAGCUUGGUAUUGGGCCCCGCCGACCCGGCGGGCCCUAAAGUCAGUGGCGGUGCCGUCCGGCUCCGAGCGUAGUAAUUCUUCUCGCUCUGGAGGUCCGGUCGUGUGCUCGCCAGCAACCCCCAAUUUUUUUCAGGUUGACCUCGGAUCAGGUAGGGAUACCCGCUGAACUUAAGCAUAUCAAUAAGCGGAGGA
rnacentral:misc_RNA from 1 species